rnacentral:lncRNA from 1 species
AUCCUCACCCAACUGGCUAUCAAUUCUCCUUAAGUGCUAGCUCGAGGUUCAGUUUCGAGGAGGUAGGCAUCUUCCUUGGGAGCGUAGGUUAUCCCCCCCUCUGAUCAGUCGCUUUGGGGGAUUAGCUCCCCCCUUCAUUUGCUUCAUCUUCUCUCUGAGAUGCAGCAAUGCCUCAGAGCUCUUCCCACAGAUCUUCUGACCAAGCCAACCAUAUAUGAAGUGGAGAACUUAACCAGCAAAUGAUAGGUUGACACCAUGGAUCGGAGAAUGUUCAACUCCAGUCGACUUAUUAUGACAUUAUAGGC